GAGCGAUCCCCUUCGGCGAGGCUGGGGGGCGUCUCCUGCCCUCUGGCCGCCCGGGGGUGGCGGGACGGGAAGCUUCAAAGCUGCCGCUGCGGCAGGCUCCCAGUCUGCUGGAGGCGAGCCGGGCCAGGGCAGCCCCAGGGAGUUCUCCGAGAGCUGACAGAAGGCCAGAGCGGACGGAGGCGGACACCCCCCGGGCGCAGCCGCUGGGCGCCUCCCCAACUCGCCAGAGCUCCCCCGGAGCCUCCCUCGGCCCCGCUCGCCCCGUGCAGCUCCAGCCCCUCCCCUGAAGCCUGUCCUGUAGCCCCAGGCAGCCCCCAAGCCCUGUCGUGGAGGGCAGCGAGCUGGCCCUCAGUGCACCUCCAGGAGCCCCUGCAGAAGGAGCAGCUCUGGCGAGUGGCAAACUAUGGUAAUAAUGGUCGCUGCUUCUUUCCCUCUCCCAGAGGCUGCGCUGAGGAUGCCUUUGUCCGUUCCUCCCUUGGGGAUGCUGUUGACUGCACCCGCCUCAGGCUUGUGUGGGCUGACUCUGCCUGGUCUUGCUCUACUCGCAGCAUGGGAGCAAAAAAGGGACAGGCGGAGCGCUUACUGGCUGUGGGCAGGAGCUGCUGUAGCUGGAGAGGCCAGAGAAAGGUAAAGAUGAAGAAAUUGAAGGCCAUCUGGCCAGCAGCUGCCUCCCGCUGCAGGCAAGAGAGAGCCUGCUUCUCCAGAGGCAGCACUGAAGACUCAGUUGUCAGUUCCUCUCUGGGGAUGUUGUUGACUGCCUCUGGCUCAGGUUUGUGUGGGUUGCCUUUGGCCUCAUUCUCCUAGCGGCAGGGGUGAAAAGGGAUAGCUGGAGACUUACUGGCUGUGGACAGGAGCUGCAGUGGCUGAAGCUGGAGAGGCCAGAAGAAGGUAAAGCAGCUGAAGAAUAAAAUAAAGGGCAGACAGGAGACAGCCUGCCUCUCCGGGUGAGGAAGGAUCCCUCUUAGUGCAGUUCUCAGCAGAUCUGAUCGCUAAUGUGUACAGCAGGGUCUGUAUGCAUAACCAAAAGCACACUACAGCCAUGUAGUGUGCGCAUGUGAGGCUAUGUAUGUAUCUGGGAAGCCUCAUGUUUUAAGAGCUGUAAGACACCAAUCUAUGCUUUUAGGUGGAUGACAGUCAAGUGACCAGAGCUACAGAGGAGGAGUGGGGGGAGAGAGAGACAAAGACAUGUCCAAACUGUCAAAUUCUCCCAACACCUCCAAGAGUGGGAUCUGCACGAGGAGGCUGGGGGGGCACAAGAAGUUGGGAGGGGAC